AACGAACGUUAGCGGCGCGCCUAACACACGCAAGUCGAGCGAGAAAGGGCUUCGGCCCCGGUACAGCGGCGCACGGGUGAGUAACACGUAGGUAAUCUACCCCCAGGUGGUGGAUAACCUGCCGAAAGGAGGGCUAAUACAGCAUGAGACCACGACUCCGAAAGGGGAUGAGGUCAAAGCCGGCCUCUUCAUGAAAGCUUGCGCCAGGGGAUGAGCCUGAGGCCCAUCAGCUAGUUGGUAGGGUAACGGCCUACCAAGGCGAAGACGGGUAGCUGGUCUGAGAGGAUGAUCAGCCACACUGGAACUGAGACACGGUCCAGACUCCUACGGGAGGCAGCAGUGGGGAAUCUUGCGCAAUGGGCGAAAGCCUGACGCAGCGACGCCGCGUGAGUGAUGAAGGCCCUCGGGUUGUAAAGCUCUGUGGAGGGGGACGAAUCAAGCUGCCGGCGAAUACCCGGCGGCCCUGACGGUACCUCCUUAGCAAGCACCGGCUAACUCCGUGCCAGCCGCCGCGGUAAGAC
rnacentral:rRNA from 1 species